rnacentral:misc_RNA from 1 species
UUAACUAUUAUAUAGUACUCAGACAAUAUGAUUAAACAUGAGUUUUAGGUCCUCUGGCAGGCACGAACCAGCCGAAGCCGGUAGUCACAAGGACAGGCCUACCAAAGCAACAAAGGUAAUGUAAACAAAGGGUGGAGUAUUAGGGUAAACCCAUAAUGACUCUUUAAUGAUCCUUCCGCAGGUUCCAAUUUCUCAGUGCUAUUUCAGCAUCAACUCGAUCAUGUCUCAACCCUGUACGGGCCACCUCUAUUUGAUCUGUGAACCUGCUAAGCAGGCUGCUAGUAAUACAAUUUUGUAAUUUCUAGCACAGUAGAGAUGUUGCCUGCUGAGCAGACUAUGUUUCGCAGGCGAACCACCUACGGAAA